rnacentral:misc_RNA from 1 species
GAGAUUACAUAGGCAACGCUCGAAACUAAACGAGAUUAAGCAAAGGCCCAGAAGAGGCAGAAAGCAAAUUUUACACUAUCAAAGCAAGUAAAAUCAAAACUAUCGAAUAAACUAAAAUUUAUAACAGAUGUCGAAUUGAAUUUCACUAUUUAGUUAACAAAACAGACUGAAUUCAUUAAAAUAGAAAACCAAAAUGAAUCGUUUUAUAAAAAAAAAAAAA